CUGCCCCACAGGGAGGCAGCUGAGGCCCCACGAGAAUUCAAGCUCCACGCUGGCCUGCCGGCACUGCUGGGGGACCCAGAAAACCCUCUGCAGCUGCUGGACCGGGUGCUAAGCCCCUCACUGCCUGGGCCGGCUGCGCGGGCCGGCCAUUCCAAGUGCGGGCCCGCAGAUACCACACCCACCCGGAAGUCCUCCUGGCCCACAAGCUCCGCGGCGCAGCCCGGGUUCCCGCCCACGUCUCUCCUUCCGGGGCUCUCACUCCAUACCUCCCCACAAGCUGAGGGAGCCGGCUCCGGCCUCAGCCAGCCCAGAAAGGGGCUCCCACAGUGCAGCGGGCUGAAGGGCUCCUCAAUAGCGACCAGAGUGGGCACCAAGGCCGAGGAGGCACCAAAAGCGAGUGAGGGCUGCGAGGGCUGCGAGGGCUGCCAGCACAUUGUCGCCUCUCAGUAGGGUCUUUGAGAGACAAGGUAUUUCACUGUAACAGACAUCAGACUAAAAGACAAAACCCUGACACUUUGGACAUUUCAGAAGUUAAA
rnacentral:lncRNA from 10 species